GAUGAACGCUGGCGGCGUGCCUAAUACAUGCAAGUCGAACGCAUUGAGAGAAGUGCUUGCACUUUUCAAUUUGAGUGGCGAACGGGUGAGUAACACGUGGGCAACCUACCUGAUAGCGGGGGAUAACGAGUGGAAACAUUCGCUAAUACCGCAUAACAAUAGAGAAGGCAUCUUCUUUAUUUAAAAGGCGCUUUCAAGCGUCACUAUCGGAUGGGCCCGCGGUGCAUUAGUUAGUUGGUGGGGUGAAGGCCUACCAAGACGAUGAUGCAUAGCCGAGUUGAGAGACUGAUCGGCCACAUUGGGACUGAGACACGGCCCAAACUCCUAUGGGAGGCUGCAGUAGGGAAUCUUCCACAAUGGACGAAAGUCUGAUGGAGCAACGCCGCGUGUGUGAUGAAGGCUUUCGGGUCGUAAAGCACUGUUGUAUGGGAAGAAAUGCUAGGCUAGGAAAUGAGCUUAGUUUGACGGUACCAUACCAGAAAGGGACGGCUAAAUACGUGCCAGCAGCCGCGGUAA
rnacentral:rRNA from 1 species